rnacentral:rRNA from 1 species
CUACGGGCGGCUGCAGUGGGGAAUCUUGGACAAUGGGCGCAAGCCUGAUCCAGCCAUGCCGCGUGAGUGAUGAAGGCCUUAGGGUCGUAAAGCUCUUUCGCCAGGGAUGAUAAUGACAGUACCUGGUAAAGAAACCCCGGCUAACUCCGUGCCAGCAGCCGCGGUAAUACGGAGGGGGUUAGCGUUGUUCGGAAUUACUGGGCGUAAAGCGCGCGUAGGCGGAUCAGAAAGUUGGGGGUGAAAUCCCGGGGCUCAACCCCGGAACGGCCUCCAAAACUCCUGGUCUUGAGUUCGAGAGAGGUGAGUGGAAUUCCGAGUGUAGAGGUGAAAUUCGUAGAUAUUCGGAGGAACACCAGUGGCGAAGGCGGCUCACUGGCUCGAUACUGACGCUGAGGUGCGAAAGUGUGGGGAGCAAACAGGAUUAGAUACCCGCGUAGUC